GGGCUUAAAGCGUCCGUAGCCGGCUUAGCAAGUCUCCUGUUAAAUUCAGCGACCUAAUCGUUGAGCCGCGGGAGAUACUACUAGGCUAGGAGGCGGGAGAGGUCGACGGUACUCCCGGGGUAGGGGUGAAAUCCUAUAAUCCCGGGAGGACCACCAGUGGCGAAGGCUGUUGACUAGAACGCGCUCGACGGUGAGGGACGAAAGCUGGGGGAGCGAACCGGAUUAGAUACCCGGGUAGUCCCAGCCGUAAACGAUGCGGGCUAGGUGUUGGGGUGGCUACGUGCCACUUCAGUGCCGCAGGGAAGCCGUUAAGCCC
rnacentral:rRNA from 1 species